rnacentral:rRNA from 1 species
UACGUAGGGUGCAAGCGUUGUUCGGAAUUACUGGGCGUAAAGGGCUCGUAGGCGGCCAACUAAGUCAGACGUGAAAUCCCUCGGCUUAACCGGGGAACUGCGUCUGAUACUGGAUGGCUUGAAUCCGGGAGAGGGAUGCGGAAUUCCAGGUGUAGCGGUGAAAUGCGUAGAUAUCUGGAGGAACACCGGUGGCGAAGGCGGCAUCCUGGACCGGCAUUGACGCUGAGGAGCGAAAGCCAGGGGAGCAAACAGG